rnacentral:rRNA from 1 species
ACUGCUCAGUAACACGUGGAUAACCUGCCCAAGGGUCUGGGAUAACCCCGGGAAACUGGGGAUAAUACCGGAUAGAUCACCUAUGCUGGAAGGGCUUGGUGGUUUAAAGGUAACGCCUUUGGAUGGGUCUGCGGCGGAUUAGGUUGACGCCGGUGUAAUGUACCGGCGUGCCUGUAAUCCGUACGGGUUGUGGGAGCAAGAGCCCGGAGAUGGAUUCUGAGACACGAAUCCAGGCCCUACGGGGCGCAGCAGGCGCGAAAACUCUACAAUGCAGGAGACUGCGAUAGGGGGACAUCGAGUGGCAUCCACCUUGGGUGCCUGUCCAACCGUCUAAAAAACGGUUGUUAGCAAGGGCCGGGUAAGACCGGUGCCAGCCGCCGCGGUAAUACCGGCGGCUCGAGUGGUGGCCGAUAUUAUUGAGUCUAAAGGGUCCGUAGCCGGCUUUGCAAGUCCCCUGGGAAAUCCAGCGGCUUAACCGUUGGGCUUUCAUGGGAUACUACAUUGCUUGGGACUGGGAGAGGUAGGAGGUACUCGGGGGGUAGGGGUGAAAUCCUGUAAUCCUCCGGGGACCACCGGUGGCGAAGGCGUCCUACCAUAACAGGUCCGACGGUGAGGGACGAAAGCUAGGGGCACGAACCGGAUUAGAUACCCGGGUAGUCCUAGCCGUAAACGAUGCCCGCUAGGUGUCACGACAGUCGUGAAUUGUCGUGGUGCCGUAGGGAAGCCGCGAAGCGGGCCACUUGGGAAGUACGACCGCAAGGUUGAAGCUUAAAGGAAUUGGCGGGGGAGCAC